rnacentral:lncRNA from 1 species
UUUAAUUCCUUCCAAAUUUAAUCUAAUACUUAUGUAAUAACUGAGAUUUUUGAUUUAUUGAUUAAACCCUUUUGUUUGACGAUGUUCUUGUGUGUAAUAUAAUUAUAAGUGCAUGUACUCGUCAAAUUUCAGGAGAAAACGAGUUAAAACGGAGAAGUUACGCGACCCGGAAGUUUGACUUAAGUGAAUAGUAACUCCGGUUUUCCGAAGAGGCCGCGGAGUAGAGUGGACUUUCGACGCGUAUCGGACUCCGAAUAUAGCCUUCCAAUAGCUCGUUUUCAACCGCUCGACUAUCCUGGACCCAAUGGCACUGACGGAAUUGGAUUUGGAUGCACGGAUUUCGAGAAAAAGGGGUUUAAUGGUUUUUACAUAUAGUUGUCUAUAUGUGGUUUUUGGUGGAACCUAGGAGGGAUGGUUUUGUCGCAAAUCAGGAACCUUUUCGGGCGAAACGAAAUGCUAGAUCCGAUGCCUCUGUCGUGCUGAUCGCGCUGGUGCGAUCCGAUCGGAAAUCCGACGGACGGAUCUUCGGGAAUCGCGAAAAGUCCGCGAAGGGGCUGAUUUGAGUAAUCGGAUUAUUCGCGAAAAGGCCCUAUAUUUUAUGCGUCGAAUUGCGAGUUUUCGAACUUAGAGGGACUAUCGUGCGUUAUGCGACUGCUGGUUGAGAGCUGGGAUUAAAUAGAUUCCUUUCGAGGGGGUUUUCCGCGAGUUUUCACACCUUUAUAUAGGUGGAUCUAGGGUUUUCUUGGACCAAACCCUAACCCUAGAAAACCCCAGCUAACCCCAGCCGCCCCUGCCAUCCCAGCACCUCCCUGCCCUGCCCGUGCUCGCGUUCCGGCCGCCGCCGAGCAGCCCCGGCCGCCGGGAAACCGCCUGCAGCCAGCCUUCCUCCUCUCCUCGGCCACCUCCCUCAUCCAUCUA